UACGUAGGGUGCAAGCGUCACUCGGAAUUACUGGGCGUAAAGCGUGCGUAGGCGGUUUGUUACGUCUGUCGUGAAAGCCCCGGGCUCAACCUGGGAAUGGCGAUGGAAACUGGCGAGCUAGAGUACGGUAGAGGAGAGUGGAAUUCCCGGUGUAGCCGUGAAAUGCGUAGAGAUCGGGAGGAACAUCAGUUGCGAAGGCGGCUCUCUGGACCAUGACUGACGCUGAGGCACGAAAGCGUGGGGAGCAAACAGG
rnacentral:rRNA from 1 species